UGAGUUUAGAUGUAUUCAGUUUGUAUGAGAGGAGGUAGUUACAAGUUAGAAAGCAAACAAAAGUUUUUUAGAUUCCAAACCCUGAAAUUUAAGUGGAUGAAUUUGUUACAAGGAAAAAAAAUAAAAGUCUUACUCAACUAUUUCUGUUUCCUAAUGACAAACUUUAUAUCAUAUUUGAAAGUAAGCCUAUCUUUGGAAAAAUGAGUACAGGUCUCCACUAAGAAACAAACUAAAUGUAAAAGAAAACAAAGGGAAACUGGAGUGCAGCUGGAACAGUAGCAGUGGAGUAAGCUACUCUAUGGAGAUGAUGAAACAACUGCUCUGGACUCUAUAGCAGGACCAGCUGCUGUCUCAUAUAGGCAGUCCCCAUAGCACAGCCAGCUGAUGGCACUGAAUGGUAGGAAGAGGAGAAUCCUGUGGCAAAAGUAUCUAACCUCCAUGGACCAGAGAGAGCAAUUACAGGGAUGAGUUUAAGAACAGUCCUAUGCAACACUAUGUUUGGCACAGUACUGCACAAGGUUUGAAUAGACAUGGCAACCUGAAAGAUCAGAUCUAAAAUGAGUGAAUCAACAGAGUGCACUACAGUCAAUGAAGUUAUGUGGAAUUACAUUAUCUAUGAGAAUGGAGCUAAGUGAUAAUGACUGACAGAGAAAAACAGCAAAAAAAAAAACAAACA
ensembl:lncRNA